rnacentral:rRNA from 1 species
CAAAAACAUCUUUUCUUGUUAGUUUUUGAAGUAUGGCCUGCCCACUGACUUAUUUGUUGAAGGGCCGCGGUAUUUUGACCGUGCAAAGGUAGCAUAAUCAUUAGUUCUUUAAUUGUGAUCUGGUAUGAAUGGCUUGACGAGACAUGGGCUGUCUUAGGGGUAUUGAUUGUUGAAUUUGGUUUUUGAGUUAAAAUUCUUAGAUGUUUUUAUGGGACGAGAACACCCUAUAGAGUUUAACAUUUUUUCUUGUUGUGUGAAUUACUGUUUGUUGUUGUUUUACGAGUGAGUUGAAUGUUUUGUUGGGGUGAUGGGAGGAAUUCUUUUAACUCCUCUUUGCUUCUGCAUAUUUAUUUAUAUUAUUGUGAUCCUUUUAUUUUGAUUAUAAAACUAAAUUACCUU